GAAAAGCUAAUUCCCGUACAAUCACCGAAGUUAAGCAAUGUCGAUCUAGGUCAGUACCUAGAUGGGUGACCUCUUGCGAAUACCCGGUGCUGUAGG